rnacentral:rRNA from 1 species
CACGUAGGGUGCGAGCGUUGUCCGGAAUUAUUGGGCGUAAAGAGCUCGUAGGCGGUGUGUCGCGUCGGCCGUGAAAACCUGCAGCUUAACUGUGGGCUUGCGGUCGAUACGGGCAUCACUGGAGUUCGGCAGGGGAGACUGGAAUUCCUGGUGUAGCGGUGAAAUGCGCAGAUAUCAGGAGGAACACCGGUGGCGAAGGCGGGUCUCUGGGCCGAUACUGACGCUGAGGCGCGAAGGCUGGGGUAGCGAACAGG